CAGGGCUCCACAGCUGGUUGUUGACGGGUUGGCCUGCUGGUUGUGAGGAAUUGUUACUUUUACCUUGAGCAAUUGGUAGUUUCAUCUGAGGAGCAGCUUUACAAUCUCACAUCAGAGUUUCACCUGACAAAAAUCCCUAAUGCUCAAUCAGGUGGUGAAACCAAAAGGUGUGGUGUGUCCUGAUCAGACUGACUGUAGUUUUUCUUGAGAGAUUGUUUGCUCAAUCUAUUUGGAUUUGUUAAGCUCCUAUUAUGUGUUUAGCAUUGAUUUGUCUUCAGGAACCUAAAGAUAAAGUAUGGUGACGGAUAUAUUUGCAGGUUGAAAACAUAUAUAGCAUGUCCAGAUGAACUGAAAAACUUCAUCUGGAGGUUGAAUAAGAGAAAGGAAUUAAAUUCAAAAAGAAUAUCCUUAAACCUUAGAACAUGACAAAUUUCAGCAGUGUUACAAAAAUGACCAAAAGCUCCAAAUGAACCUCUGGAAUCUAGUCCACAUACAAGUGAGAUCAUGCAGCAUUUUUAUUUGUGUCCAGCUUAUGUCACUCAGGAAUUUCUAGAUAUUUCCUCGAGGUUCAUUCAUGCUGUUGCAAAUGACAGGAUGUACUUCUGAAUGUGAGAGAGUUUCAGAGAACUGGAAUCCAUUGGAUGAACAAGCUUAAUUUCAAAAUCUCAGAUGACAGAAAUUCUCACUGACUCCAAAUGAGGAACAGAAUGGCUGCAUACUUUAGAUAUUUUUAACUAACACCAUUAAUGUAAUCAUGAAGACCAUGCCUAUAUUGUCAUUAUAUCAAAAUAUGUUCACUUCAACAAGUAGAAGUUCUUCCAUUGACAAAAGUAUUUAAUGAAUUGUCAAUAAAACUUUGUUGGGAUGCAAAGAAUUAUGUCAAGCACCUCGGCACUACAAAAUUAAAUAAUCAGCUGGUGUUCCUCAAAAAAGCAUAUGAAUGUGCUUAUUUUCAUCAAGAGGACUUCAUGAUCCAGUCAGGAAGACAAGGCAGGUACACUAAUAAAUAUAGGUAGAAUCUAAGAAGAACCACAAAAGAGGGACAAAGCUAUAGGAUUUCAGAUGCAAGAGAUUACUUCUAGCUAAAGGGAACCCAUGAAGAUGACACAAGAGUGACAUUGGAACCGAGUCUCUCAGUGUGCUUAGACUUGCUAUUGGAUCUUCCCUGUAUUUCUCCAGUUACCCACUCAAUAAAGUUUCUUGCCAGUGGUUAUGACUCGUGCUCAUUUCUAAUGCUUUUUAACAUAUUACCACAAACUGGGUGGCUUAAAUCUCAUUGUGUUUUAUGUCAUAGUUUCUGUGGGUCAAGAACACAGACAGGGAGUAUCUGGGUUCUCUGCUCAGGGUCUCACAGAG
rnacentral:lncRNA from 1 species